rnacentral:rRNA from 1 species
GAUGAACGCUGGCGGCGUGCUUAACACAUGCAAGUCGAACGGAAAGGCCCAAGCUUGCUUGGUUACUCGAGUGGCGAACGGGUGAGUAACACGUGGGUGAUCUGCCCUGCACUUCGGUAUAAGCCUGGGAAACUGGGUCUAAUACCGGAUAGGACCACUUCUUGGAUGUUGUGGUGGAAAGGUUUGUCGGGGUGGGAUGAGCUCGCGGCCUAUCAGCUUUGUUGUGGGGUAAUGGCCUACCAAGGCGUCGACGGGGAGACGGGCUGAGAGGGUGUACGGCCCCAGUGGGAAUGAGAAACGGCCCAGACUCCUACGGGAGGGAGCAGUGGGGAAUAUUGCAACAUGGGCGCAAGCCUGAUGCAGGGACGCCGCGUGGGGGAUGACGGCCUUCGGGUUGUAAACUCCUUUCGCUAGGGACGAAGCGUUUUGUGACGGUACCUGGAGAAGAAGCACCGGCUAACUACGUG